rnacentral:rRNA from 1 species
ACGGGUGGCGGCACAAGCGGUGGAGCAUGUGGUUUAAUUCGACGCAACGCGAAGAACCUUACCAACUCUUGACAUCCAGAGAAGAGGCUAGAGAUAGCUUUGUGCCUUCGGGAACUCUGAGACAGGUGCUGCAUGGCUGUCGUCAGCUCGUGUUGUGAAAUGUUGGGUUAAGUCCCGUAACGAGCGCAACCCUUGUCCUUAUUUGCCAGCACGUAAUGGUGGGAACUCUAAGGAGACUGCCGGUGACAAACCGGAGGAAGGUGGGGACGACGUCAAGUCAUCAUGGCCCUUACGAGUUGGGCUACACACGUGCUACAAUGGCCGGUACAGAGGGCUGCAAACCUGCGAAGGUAAGCUAAUCUCACAAAACCGGUCGUAGUCCGGAUUGGAGUCUGCAACUCGACUCCAUGAAGUCGGAAUCGCUAGUAAUCGUGGAUCAGAAUGCCACGGUGAAUACGU